GGGCAAGCACCCUGGUUUUUGUGGGGUGAGGAUGGAGUUUGCGGCACUGUGAUUAUUAUGGUAUGGACUACUGGGGCCAGGGGACACUGGUCACCGUCUCCUCAGAUAGUGUGUCUUCCCCGAACCUCUUUCCCCUCAUCUCCUGUGAGAACUCCCUGUCUGAUGACAGCCGGGUGACUGUGGGCUGCCUGGCCAAGGACUUCCUGCCCAGCCCCGUCACCUUCUCGUGGAGCUAUAAGAACAACAGCGGCAUCAGCAGCCAGGACAUCCAGAAUUUCCCGUCGGUCCUGAGAGAGGGCAAGUAUGCUGCCAGCUCCCAGGUGGUCCUGCCCUCUAUCAACAUCAACCAGGGUACAGAUGAGUUUGUGCUGUGCAAUGUCAAACACUCCAACGGUGACAAAAAAGUGCAAGUGCCAAUCCAAGGUGCGGACAGUGGGGACCCACUGUCCCCCAAUGUGAACAUCUUCAUCCCACCCCGUGAUGCCUUCUCUGGUGCCAGCCCCCGCAAGUCCAGGCUCAUCUGCCAGGCCACAGGCUUCCGCCCCAAGAAGAUCUUUGUGUCCUGGCUGCAGGAUGGAAAGCCUCUGGGCUCCAACUUCACCACAGACAAGGUGCAGGCUGAGCCCAAAGGGCCUGGACCCGUGACCUACAGUGUCAGCAGCAUGCUGAUGAUCACCGAGAGUGACUGGCUCAGCCAGAGUCUGUUCACGUGCCAAGUGGAUCACAAUGGGCUGAGCUUUCAGAAGAACGUGUCAUCUGUGUGUAAUACUGGUGCAUCUAACAUCAAAAUCUUCACCAUUCCCCCAUCCUUUGCCAGCACCUUUCUCACCAAGAAUGCCAAGCUGUCCUGCCUAGUCACAGACCUGACCACCUAUGACACCCUGACCAUCUCCUGGACCCGUCAGAAUGGCAAGGAUCUAAAAACCCACACCAACAUCUCUGAGAUCCUUCCCAAUGCCACCUUCAGAGCUGUAGGAGAGGCCACCGUGUGUAUGGAGGAAUGGGAGUCAGGAGAAGAGUUCACGUGCACGGUGACCCACGCAGACCUGCCCUUCCCACUGAAGCACACCAUUUCCAAGCCCAAAGAAGUUGACAAGCAAAUGCCCUCUGUGUAUGUGCUACCACCUACCAGGGAACAGCUGAGCCUUCGGGAGUCAGCCUCAGUCACCUGCCUGGUGAAGGGCUUUUCACCCCCAGACAUAUUCGUUCAGUGGAUGCAGAGAGGACAGCCUAUGUCUUCUGACAUGUAUGUGACCAGCUCCCCACUGCCCGAGCCCCAGGUCCCUGGCCGGUACUUCAUCCACAGCAUCCUGACCGUGAGUGAAGAGGACUGGAGUGCUGGGGACACCUAUACCUGCAUUGUGGCCCAUGAGGCCCUGCCUCACUUGGUGACCGAGAGGACCGUGGACAAGUCCACUGAGGGAGAGGUAAGUGCUGAGGAGGAAGGUUUUGAGAACCUGAACACCAUGGCCUCCACCUUCAUCGUCCUGUUCCUGCUCAGUCUAUUCUACAGCACCACAGUCACCCUGUUCAAGGUGAAAUGACCCACCGGACAGGAACACGGACACCAAGGAGCUGGUACCAAGGGGGCGCCCGCUGCCUUCAGCUCAGGGCCCUUAAAUCUGCCCGUGCUACCUGCUAGCUGCCAGCACUAAGGAGUGGUUUCUCUGGACACGGCUUGUGUGGAGGGAGUAUGGGGCACAGGUGUCGCUUUGCAAUGAGUAUGCUUGUCGCCUUGAAAUAAAUAUGCACAUUUUA